rnacentral:rRNA from 1 species
GCUUAGAAGCAGCCACUCAUUAAAAGAGUGCGUAAUAGCUCACUGGUCGAGUGACUCUGCGCCGAAAAUUUAACGGGGCUAAACUAUACACCGAAGCUUGGGAUACAUCUAAUGUAUGGUAGGAGAGCGUUCUGUAUGGGGAGAAGUCGUAGCGAAAGCGGCGGUGGACUAUACAGAAGUGAGAAUGCCGGAAUAAGUAGCGAGAAUUAAGUGAGAAUCUUAAUGGCCGAAAGUCUAAGGUUUUUGGAGGAAGGUUCGUCCGCUCCAAGUAAGUCGGGAGCUAAGGUCAGGCCGAAAGGCGUAGCCGAUGCACAUACGGUUGAUAUUCCGUAACCAUCUGUAAUUUAAGCAAAGGGACACUUCAAAAGGGUGUGACCCGGGCGUUGGUUGACCCGGGCGUAAGGGACCGAAAUUAGAGUAGGGAAGCACACUUAGCUGAAGGCGAGAAAAGCUUUGCGUAUAGAAACAGAUGCCCGUACCGCAAACCGACACAGGUGGACAGGAAGAGAAUUCUAAGGCCAGCGGGAGAAGGGUAGUUAAGGAACUCGGCAAAUUGACUCCGUAACUUCGGAAUAAGGAGUGCUCGAAAGAGCCGCAGAGAAUAGGCCCAGGCGACUGUUUAGCAAAAACACAGGUCUCUGCCAAAUCGAAAGAUGAAGUAUAGGGGCUGACACCUGCCCGGUGCCGGAAGGUUAAGAGGAGGAGUGAGAGCUCCGAAUUGAAGCCCCGGUAAACGGCGGCCGUAACUAUAACGGUCCUAAGGUAGCGAAAUUCCUUGUCGGGUAAGUUCCGACCCGCACGAAUGGUGUAACGAUCUGGGCACUGUCUCAACUACCCACCCGGCGAAAUUGUAGUACCGGUGAAGAUGCCGGUUACCUGCGGCAAGACGGAAAGACCCCAUGGAGCUUUACUGUAGCCUGAUAUUGGGUUUCGGAAAUCUAUGUACAGGAUAGGCGGGAGACUGGGAAACAUGAGCGUCAGCUUGUGUGGAGUCGAUGUUGGGAUACCGCCCUUAGGUUUCUGGAAUUCUAACCUGCGGCCGUGAAUCCGGUCGGGGGACAUUGUCAGGUGGGCAGUUUGACUGGGGCGGUCGCCUCCGAAAAGGUAACGGAGGCGCUCAAAGGUUAGCUCAGCACGGACGGAAACCGUGCCUCUGAGUGUAAACGCAAAAGCUAGCCUAACUGCGAGGGUGACGGCCCGAGCAGUAACGAAAGUUGGAGUUAGUGAUCCGGCGGUAUGUGAAUGGAAAUGCCGUCGCUCAACGGAUAAAAGCUACCCUGGGGAUAACAGGCUGAUCUCCCCCAAGAGUCCACAUCGACGGGGAGGUUUGGCACCUCGAUGUCGGCUCAUCACAUCCUGGGGCUGUAGUAGGUCCCAAGGGUUGGGCUGUUCGCCCAUUAAAGUGGUACGCGAGCUGGGUUCAGAACGUCGUGAGACAGUUCGGUCCCUAUCUGUCGUGGGCGCAGGAUAUUUGAGGAGCUCUGUCCUUAGUACGAGAGGACCGGGAUGGACGUACCUCUGGUGCACCAGUUGUCAUGCCAAUGGCACGGCUGGGCAGCUAUGUACGGAACGGAUAAACGCUGAAAGCAUCUAAGCGUGAAGCCGACUCCAAGAUUAGAUAUCCCAUCGUAUAACGAGUAAGACCCCUUGAAGACUACGAGGUUGAUAGGCUGCGUGUGUAAGUGCCGUGAGGCAUUCAGCUUGGCAGUACUAAUAGGUCGAGGGCUUGACCAC